rnacentral:rRNA from 1 species
GAUGAACGCUAGCGGCAGGCUUAACACAUGCAAGUCGAGGGGCAUCGAGAGUAGCAAUACUUGUCGGCGACCGGCGCAAGGGUGCGUAACACGUGAGCAACAUACCCGUUUCAGGAGGAUAACCGGAGGAAACUCUGCCUAAUACUCCAUGACAUCAUCAAACGGCAUCGUUUGAUGAUUAAAGAUUUAUCGGAAACGGCUUGGCUCGCGGGACAUUAGCUCGUUGGUGAGGUAACGGCUCACCAAGGCCACGAUGUCUAGGGGUUCUGAGAGGAAGGUCCCCCACACUGGAACUGAGACACGGUCCAGACUCCUACCGGGAGGCAGCAGUGAGGAAUAUUGGACAAUGGGGGCAACCCUGAUCCAGCCAUGCCGCGUGAGUGAAGAAGGCCUUCGGUGUAAAGCUCUUCGGUCCGGGAAGAAAGUACGCAUGGGCGUAAUAACCCUGUCGCGGAUGACGUACCGGCAUAAGAAAGCAACCGGCUAACUAACGUGCCAGCACG